UCUUGUCAUAAAUUAUUUGAUCAAGUAUAGUUUUUAGUUUACUUCAGUUCAUCAUUCUCUACACACUGUAUUCGAAGUGAAUGUUAAACAGCAAAACUGAAAAUUCUUGUUUUCCUGACAAUAAGCUCAUAUAGAGCUCUGAAGUGGUAAAAGAUGACAUUUUCCCGUAGCCUAAGUAUGUCUUUGAUUCUGCUCUAUAUAGCCUUCUGCUUCUUAGUUCCAGUUGCGGAUUCCAGAGCAGGUGCGUGCGAUUUCCGCGGCAUUGCCAACUGCUGGACUGAUUUGAUAAAACAAAAGUGUGGACCGAAUGACUGCUCUGAUGACAUCAUCUGCAA